AGUGAACGCUGGCGGUAGGCCUAACACAUGCAAGUCGAACGGCAGCACAGUAAGAGCUUGCUCUUACGGGUGGCGAGUGGCGGACGGGUGAGGAGUACAUCGGAAUCUACUUUUUCGUGGGGGAUAACGUAGGGAAACUUACGCUAAUACCGCAUACGACCUACGGGUGAAAGCAGGGGAUCUUCGGACCUUGCGCGAUUGAAUGAGCCGAUGUCGGAUUAGCUAGUUGGCGGGGUAAAGGCCCACCAAGGCGACGAUCGGUAGCUGGUCUGAGAGGAUGAUCAGCCACACUGGAAGUGAGACACGGUCCAGACUCCUGCGGGAGGCAGCAGUGGGGAAUAUUGGACAAUGGGCGCAAGCCUGAUCCAGCCAUACCGCGUGGGUGAAGAAGGCCUUCGGGUUGUAAAGCCCUUUUGUUGGGAAAGAAAAGCAGCAGGUUAAUACCCCGCUGUUCUGACGGUACCCAAAGAAUAAGCACCGGCUAACUUCGUG
rnacentral:rRNA from 1 species